AGUGCCCAUGGCGUCAAAUUUUGACCUUAUGAUGUUUUGGGGCCUUAAAAUGAGUUACUCUGACCUCCUGAAGCCAUCCCAGUGGUUUGCAAUGUGUUACUGUGUACACCGAGCUGUGCUGGAGGUUCCUCCCAGUUUGUAAACAAACUCUGACACAGCAUCCAAUUGACGCAAAGCUCGUGUGUGCCCGAGAUGACGUCCUGCCCUCGUUCGCUCUCAACUCGUCCACGCCCUCUCUCCACCCACUAGCACGCCCAUUCAUUUGAAAACUCUAUAAAUACCAGCAGAACACCACAUACUACCGGUUCAAUGUCUGAGGGAACCUUUUCCUAACUAAUGCUUUCACAAUCUGGGACAAUACAGAGCAAGUUAUGGCCAACACCUGACGCUGAAGUCUGGAUCAAUACCACCAAGCCUCCUGAACAAAAGUUCCCGAAGAAAGCAACAUGAUGAAGCAAAACUCCUCCCUCACCACUACGUUGGAGUCUUCCCAUUCAGUCAUCACCCAAUUUGCUCCAAAGAAUCAAACACAAGCAGACACUUCUUACAGAUGGCUGUCCUCUAGAAUGAAAAUGCACACCAACCACCGGCAAACAUCAAAAGCUAAUCCAACCUUUGGUCUUCGGAAACCCUGCGACUAAUGCAAUGUUGGUGCCCUAGAAGACAAGUCAGCGCAGUUCAGACGAGCCAGCCAGAGGAGGUCACCGCCAGCCUUGUAUCGAGGUUCCAACGUCCUUCAUCAGGGAACUCGGCAUGGAUAUGCAAGACAACACUCGAAUCACUGUUGGACAAAUGAAACGGCUGGAAAAAUAGAAAAGAUGGUUACAGAGACUGUUAUUGCUGUUCUUCUUUCAAUACAAUAUUUGCCUUCCAUAAAAUAUUCCCAUGUUCCAAUUUAAUAUUCUUGAUGCUGUUGUAAAUAAAUUUGCACACUGUCUUCACACUGUCUGCAUAAUUGAAUUAGCCGCUUAUAGUGAUCUUGAACUCUGUACAAAAAGUUCCAGCAUGCGUUGUGGCUCUCCUGCCUUCUCUCCAAGUUUUAGUGAUCUGAUAAAGAUAAGACAUGGCAAGUUUGCUCUUGGUGUCAAAUGAAAGUAAUGCUACCUGAGGUAGGCAGCAUAAUGUUAUCUCUUUCUGUGGGCAUUGUCUCAGUUUCCACACUAGCAUCUAACCUUAUUACAAAAAAGGCAGUUUUCUGAUACUGUUAGCCAGGUUACUCUCAGGUAAACAUGAGAUGAUGCUAUUUUCGCAAUGGAAACUUAACUGGCAACUAUGGAUAAAUGUGAUGUCAACAGAGCAUGGAAUAUUUCACCAUUG